rnacentral:rRNA from 1 species
GUCCUUUUGUAUUAUAUAUAAGGUUUAACCUGCCCACUGAAUAAUUUAAAUGGCCGCAGUAUUUUAACUGUGCAAAGGUAGCAUAAUCAUUAGUUUUUUAAUUAAAAGCUUGUAUGAAAGGUUGGACGAGGUAAAAACUGUCUUUAUUUAAUUUAUUAUAAAAUUUAAUUUUUAAGUUAAAAAGCUUAAAUUUUUUUAAAAGACGAGAAGACCCUAUAGAUCUUUAUAUUUAAUAUUUUAUUUUUAAUUAAGAUUUAUUUAAGUUUUAUUAUAUUAAAUAUUUUAUUGGGGUAAUAAGAAGAUUAAAAAAAUUCUUUUAUUUUAUAUUCAUUGAUUAAUGUUUUAAUGAUCCAAUUUUAUUGAUUAUAAGAAUAAGUUACCUUAGGGAUAACAGCGUAAUUUUUUUAGAGAGUUCAUAUCGAUAAAAAAGUUUGCGACCUCGAUGUUGGAUUAAAGAUUAAUUUAGGUGUAGAUGUUUAAAUUUUUGGUCUGUUCGACCAUUAAAUCUUUACAUGAUCUGAGUUCAGACCGGUGUAAGCCA